rnacentral:lncRNA from 1 species
GCGGCACCGCCAGGCUUUGCCCGCGGUUUCUGUUCAAUUUGCCAAUCCUUUUACUCCGAUUUGAUCAUGAGAGUGUUUAAAAUUGAAUUCCGAGCAAAUAGAGAAAUUUUUACCUCUUUUAGCGGUCGGAAGUGGCUUCAGCGUGAUGACAAAUGGUGGCGGCUUCCUUUCCGGCGGCUGGUUUUUCUUCUCCGGUGGGGGGUGUCUGGCAGUUAGGGUUAGGAUUUGAU